CUGCAGCUAAUUAAGCCGACUGUGCUCUUUUCCUCAGGGGAGCCUGGUGUGCAAUAGCGCAAAUAGCAGCCUCCUUGGUAGUGUAUGCAGCCUGUUGCAUGUAUGGGUUGCUCUAAGGGGCCUUGGAGACAUUC